rnacentral:rRNA from 1 species
UACGUAGGGUGCAAGCGGUAAUCGGAAUUCCUGGGCGUAAAGCGUGCGCAGGCGGUUUUGUAAGUCCGAUGUGAAAUCCCCGGGCUCAACCUGGGAAUUGCAUUGGAGACUGCAAGGCUAGAAUCUGGCAGAGGGGGGUAGAAUUCCACGUGUAGCAGUGAAAUGCGUAGAGAUGUGGAGGAACACCGAUGGCGAAGGCAGCCCCCUGGGUCAAGAUUGACGCUCAUGCACGAAAGCGUGGGGAGCAAACAGG